rnacentral:misc_RNA from 1 species
UCUGUCGUAUCCACAAACUUCAAGAGUCUUCGGGUUUGUGCUGACAUUGGAGGUCCAUCAGGAUAAAGUGCAGAAUUUAUGUGAACUUCAGAUGGUCGUGGAGGUGGCUUUUGAGCCGAGGAAAAAUGAGAACUUAUAGUUGAGAUGAUUCCAGAUUUUUCAGUGAUAACAGGAGAACCAUCCCAUUCAGCUCUCUUUAUGACAGUGGCACCAAUGACUUUAGAAAACUGAAGGCGUAAAAAAAGAACAUUUCUCAGACCAGAUUCUCUAACUUCAAAUUGGGCCCCCGUGACAAUGGAGAGAUCAUCAGAUUCUAUGGGUGCGGUGCAUACAUGUGAAAAACUUUUCCAUUGGACUUUCUCAUGAUACCUUUGGUCAGAGGAGCUACUCGCAUAGCCAUAUGAUUCAUUUUGAAGCUGAAGGCUUUUUGGCAAGGAUGAAAGGUGCUGCAAAUGGAUUGCUAAG